rnacentral:rRNA from 1 species
GACGAACGCUGGCGGCGUGCUUAACACAUGCAAGUCGAACGGAAAGGCCCUGCUUUUGUGGGGUGCUCGAGUGGCGAACGGGGUGAGUAACACGUGAGUAACCUGCCCUUGACUUUGGGAUAACUUCAGGAAACUGGGGCUAAUACCGGAUAGGAGCUCCUGCUGCAUGGUGGGGGUUGGAAAGUUUCGGCGGUUGGGGAUGGACUCGCGGCUUAUCAGCUUGUUGGUGGGGUAGUGGCUUACCAAGGCUUUGACGGGUAGCCGGCCUGAGAGGGUGACCGGCCACAUUGGGACUGAGAUACGGCCCAGACUCCUACGGGAGGCAGCAGUGGGGAAUAUUGCACAAUGGGCGGAAGCCUGAUGCAGCAACGCCGCGUGCGGGAUGACGGCCUUCGGGUUGUAAACCGCUUUCGCCUGUGACGAAGCGUGAGUGACGGUAAUGGGUAAAGAAGCACCGGCUAACUACGUG